CACGUAGGGUGCGAGCGUUGUCCGGAAUUAUUGGGCGUAAAGAGCUCGUAGGCGGUGUGUCGCGUCGGCCGUGAAAACCUGCAGCUUAACUGUGGGCUUGCGGUCGAUACGGGCAUCACUGGAGUUCGGCAGGGGAGACUGGAAUUCCUGGUGUAGCGGUGAAAUGCGCAGAUAUCAGGAGGAACACCGGUGGCCGAAGGCGGCUCACUGGUCCGGGUAC
rnacentral:rRNA from 1 species